rnacentral:rRNA from 1 species
UACGGGGGGGGCAAGCGUUGUUCGGAAUUACUGGGCGUAAAGGGCGCGUAGGCGGCUUGGUCAGUCCCGUGUGAAAUCCCUCGGCUCAACUGAGGAACUGCACGGGAAACUGCCUGGCUUGAGUUCGGGAGAGGGAAGCGGAAUUCCGGGUGUAGCGGUGAAAUGCGUAGAUAUCUGGAGGAACACCGGUGGCGAAGGCGGCAUCCUGGACCGGCAUUGACGCUGAGGCGCGAAAGCCAGGGGAGCAAACGGG